CGGCGAGUGGCGGACGGGUGAGUAACGCGUAGGAAUCUGCCCAGUAGUGGGGGACAACUCCGGGAAACCGGGGCUAAUACCGCAUACGCUCUACGGGGGAAAGCGGGGGAUCUUCGGACCUCGCGCUAUUGGAUGAGCCUACGUCCGAUUAGCUUGUUGGUGGGGUAAAGGCCUACCAAGGCGACGAUCGGUAGCUGGUCUGAGAGGACGAUCAGCCACACUGGGACUGAGACACGGCCCAG
rnacentral:rRNA from 1 species